AGCAUGUCAGGUAGAGGACCAAGAGCAGGAGCCUGCACUGGAGGGGAGGGAGGAGGACUGAGCACCAAGACAGGGGACAGGUCUCUGCACAAGGGGCUGUUCACUGUGCCUCAGGGCUCCCCUUGGUGAGGGUGGGAGGAGAGUGGGGAUGAAGGGAAGACCACCUGGGCAAAACACACCUCCAGAA